UACUGGCAUCUUUAAAAGAUGAUUAUUGUAAAACGCCUACUGAAAGAUCAUUACAAAUGAUAGCAGAGGGAUUACUACUGUGAUCAUUUGAUCAACUAGAAAUAAAAAAUAGGCAACAUAGUUCGACAGUUAAAGAAUUCAUGUAAUAAUAUUUUUGUUGAAAAUUGGGCGAAAGAUCAAUAAAUUCUUCCGGCUUGUCUAUGCAAUCCCCAGUGUUCAGAAGAGGCAAGUUCACCUUGUCGGCCGACGAAACACAGCAACCAGACAAGACGCCGGUGGCACACAGCUCCUUGCUUAAAAGUACUGACAGAUAAUUGGACCAUGAAAACUCGUCGAGACACCAAUCUGUCAUUGAAAAGACGCUAUGACCACGGCAUCGAACGAACGAGACAAAGGCUUGGCAUUGAGGCCAGUACCAUUUUAAAAAUAAGUGUUCUAUAUAUACUCCUGUUUUCAAUUAAAUGUGUAUACUCUGUUACUCUAUAUAUCAUUUGGGUGUUUGAAACAUAAAGACGCGUUAGUAUAUAUAAAAAUUUUUAACAAAUAAAAAAUAUUUGGAUUGAU